GGGCUCCUCCUCUGCAGCCACCCUCAGGCUUCUUGCCUUGCCUACCCCUCCAGCUUCCCUAUACAACUCUCAGUCUCAUCCUCUACACCUCUGGCCAUACUAGGGAGGGGCGCAUUACUUUUUUCCAGUUUUUUAAAAUUGUGGUAAAAUAUACAUAACAUAAAUUUGCAUUUUAACCAGUUUUAAGUGUACAGUUCAGUGGCAUGAAGUACAUUCACACUGUUGGGCAGCCGUCACCACCGUCCAUCUCCAGGACUUUUUCAUCUUCCCAGACUGACACUCGGCCCCCAUUCAACACAAACCCCACAUUCCCCUCCCUCCAGCUCCCACCAUUCUACUUCCUGUCUCUAGUUCUCUGGCCUCUCGGGGCCUCUCGAGACACAACUAAUGGGAGUGGAGCCCCAUAGUGCCUGUGCUGGUGUGGCUGCCUUCUUUCACUUAAUGUAACGUCUUUAAAGUUCAGCCGUUGUAUUAUGCAUCAGAAUUUCAUUCCUUUUCAAGGGUGAAGACUGUACCACGUUUUAUGUAUCCAUUCGUCUACACACGGAGGCUUGGGCUGAUUCCACCUCUGGGCUUUGUGAGUGAUGCUUCUAGGCAGACAGUUGUCACUUCAAGACCUUGCUUUCAAUCCUUCCGGGUGUAUACCCCGAAGCAGAAUUGCGGACCAAAGGCAUCUGCACCGUUUUCGAUUUCCAACAGCAGGCACGGGUUCCGCUUUCUCUACGUCCUCGCCAACAGCAGGCACAGGGUUCCCCUUUCUCUACGUCCUCGCCAACAGCAGGCACAGGGUCUGCUUUCUCUGUGUCCUCGCCAACAGUUUUUAUUUUCUGUGUUUUCAAUGGAUGUGAGGUGGUAUCUCAUUGUUUUCAUUUGCAUUUCCCUAAUGUUUAGUGAUGUUGAGCAUCUUUUUAUAUGUUAUUGGCUAUUUGUAUAUCCUCUUUAGAGAAAUGUCUAUUCAAGGCCGGAUGCAGUGACUCACGCCUGUAAUCCCAGCACUUUAGGAGGCCGAAGCGCGUGGAUCACCUGAGGUCAGGAGUUCAAGACAAGCCUGGUCAAUAUGGUGAAAUCUGUCUCUACUAAAAAUACAAAAAAAAUUGGCUGGGGGUGGUGGCAGGCGCCUGUAAUCCCAGCUACUCAGGAGGCUGAGGCAGGAGAACAACUUGGACCUGGGAGGCAGAGGUUGCAGUGAGCCAGGAUCACACCGCUGCACUCCAGCCUGGGCAACAAGAGCGAAACUCUGUCUCAAAAAAUAAAAUAAAAAUAAAUGUCUAUUCAAGUCCUUUGCCA
rnacentral:lncRNA from 1 species